AGAGUAUGAACGGGGGAGGGGCAGAGAGAGAGGGAGACAGAAUUGGAAGCAGGCUCCAGGCUCUGAGCCAUCAGCCCAGAGCCCGACGCGGGGCUUGAACUCACAGACCACGAGAUCGUGACCCGGGCCGAAGUCGGACGCUUAACCGACUGAGCCACCCAGGCGCCCCAAAACUCACUACUCUUAUAUGACAUUGUUUAAAGUAAGACAUGUCCUUAUUCAAGUACGGGGAGAAAAUCACCCAUUGCUGGAAUUUAGAGUGGAAUCUAACUUUCUUAAAGAGCGAAAUCCUCUUCGAGAAGACUACAAGCCACAUGUUCACUCGGUGCCCCCGCCCAGCACUGCUACGAGUGUGAGAGCUCUCUAACGUACAGAAGUUUCUGACUGAUUCUGAAUUCCUAACUGAUUUCUCACUGGUAUUGUUGUUUGAAAAAGUGAAGAACAAAGGCCAUAAACUUGAUAGCUUCCUUCGGUCACCAAGAUAUUAUAAAUAGCUAAAAAGUAUAUAGAAUUCUACCCUAUUUACUUUGAGUAUUUCUCAAUAAUAUUCUUAGUUCAGGAAGUCAAACUUGUUCACAUUCUCAGUUUUCAGUGUUCUUGUUUCUAAUGUUUAAGGGCUGAGGUAGAAUAUAUAUAUUUGUAAAUGCAUUUAACACCCAACCAUACAUAAAACACAUUUUAGAGUUGUUGAAAGAAUGAAUCUUAAGACUUGGCAUUACUCUGUGAACAAAAGAGACUUUAAAAUAACUUUCUUUUUUUUUUAAUUUUUUUUUUUAACAUUUAUUUAUUUUUGAGACAGGGAGAGACAGAGCAUGAACAGGGGAGGGUCAGAGAGAGGGAGACACAGAAUCUGAAACAGGCUCCAGGCUCUGAGCUGUCAGCACAGAGCCCGACGCGGGGCUCGAACUCACGGACCGCGAGAUCAUGACCUGAGCCGAAGUUGGCCGCUUAACUGACUGAGCCACCCAGGCACCCCUAAAAUAACUUUCUUUACAAAUGCAAUGUAAUUUAUUUUGGAUGAUAGUUCCCUAGAUAUGGAGAUUUAGUUUAAAAAUUAUUUCCCCAUCUAAAUACUCCCAGGGGUAUUGUACAGAGUUGCCUUAUAAAUACAAGUGUUAUUUAAGGGAAAACAGGCCAGAUGUUCAUACCCAAAUGCAUACACCAUUGAAAGCAGCAUCAAAGGGUGGUGAUUACACUCAAACCACAUUGAAAUGUCAGCCUUAUGGCUUAAUGGUUGCAUCGUGAGAGUACAAGCACUAGAGAACAGCUUCUGUAGAUCUUAAGACUUUAAUUGUAUCGAAAGAUAAAGUGAUGCCCUCAUUCGUAGAAACCACUUGGUACAUCUGCUCUGCCUCAGUGGUUGGUCUGUUCCAGUAAGUGGUAUAUUCACCUCUAACCUCUGUUUCACUAAAAGGCAAGGUAUACAGAUAGCAUAAUUUAGUACAGGAAUUAAAUCCAGAGACCUAGUAGGAAAAUGGACAACUAAAAACAUAUAUUUGUAGUAGCAAGAGACCCUGAUCUAGGAAAUAAAUGAUUCUUUUCAAUAUAAUUUCACAUGUCGGGGUGCCUGGGUGGCUCAGUAGGUUAAGUGUCAGACUUCGGCUCAGGUUAUGAUCUCAGGAUUCGUGAAUUUGAACCCCACGUUAAGCUCUGUGCUGACAGCUCGGAGCCUGGAGCCUGCUUCGGAUUCUGUGUCUCCCUCUCUCUCUGCCCCUUCUCUGCUCAUGCUUUGUCUCUCCAUCUCUCUCAAAGAUAAACAUAAAAAAAAGAACCGUCUCUUUACUUGUUACUGUACUGCUGACCAGCAGGGCCUGGCUAUCAAGGGAUGUGUCGUGUGAGUUGCAGCCACAAAAGCUGUGAUGCCAGACGUGUAUAUGAGGUCCUUUCUCAGAGACACCGACAAUCUGGGGCAGGAUAGGCGAGUUCAAGGAUGGUGCCUGCCCACCAGUCUCCCCAGUUUCUGGGGUGGGGGGAUUGCCUUGGGCUCACCGACAUGUGUUUAAUUAGAAGCCCGUUCCUCAGGCCAUAGCUAUGCAGAUAAGCUAAAAGGUGAGUCACAGAAAGACCAGGAUUUCAGUUGGCCACCUCUGUGCUAUGUCCUGGGUAGGGCGGCCAGUUAACAACUGUUUCUCCAUUUAUUCCAGUCCUACGUGACCUGCCAACAUAAGCCCUGAGGGCCACCAGACAGGUGCACAAGCUCCUUUUCGGGAGGUACCGGCGAUGUGGAGCACGGCAGAGGGAGGGUGAAAGGUCGCUCCGGCUCUCCAAGGCUCCACACCCAAUGUGGGGCUUGAACUCAUGACCCUGAGACCGAGUCACAUGCUCCACUGACUGAGCCAGCCAGGCACCCCUUGAUGUGGUUUUGUAUCCACCCAACGGAGAUUUAGUUUUCAGAUCUCCUUCAGAGAGAAACUGUUCCGAACGUGGCUAUAGACGUCGUGUGUCGGACGGGAGACAUCUGUACAGGCAGGUGCAAAGUACUCCAAGGCCGACAACUACAAGAAACCAGGAAACAAAGGACAUGUAAUUGAGAGCUAAUUGCCAAGAUUCAAACUGUAGCAGCAGAAGUAAUUAACAAAUGAAGAAGGAAAUAAAUGGAAACAUCAUUACCUUUACACUGAGGAGGGUCACUACUCCACUUGUUAUUCCCAACACAAAUAAGUUUGCUGUCUCCAACAAGUGAAAAUUCGUCUGAUCCUUGUGAAGGAUUACAACUGUUUACCCUUGAGCUUCAUAGUUUCGAAUUUUGGUGGUUCACCACAGGCAUCUAGUGAUAAGACAACGAGAAUAUGAAAAUGAAGUAUUUAUCUCUUUCACCAGCCAAGGCUCUGGUCUGGCAGCAGAGACCUGUUUCUCCCCGAUCAGCUACUGUUUCUUUUCAGACCCUACUAAAAAAACUCAGAAGAUUUUUCUGCAGCAGCCUGGUUUCAAGGUCAAUGGAUGAACAAGCAAGGCCAUACAUUCCUUACCCGAGAUAAGGAGUCCAAGACCCAAUCCAGGUUAUACUGGCUCUCAGAGCAGACCCAUAGCCCCUUCUCCUUGUCCUAAGAUAACUGCAUGAGGCCGGGGGCUAAAUUUUGCCUCCUUCUGAUGCUAAGUAUCCACCCCAAAGGGAACGUGGGAUAUAUGCUUGCGGUCACUGAAUGCACAUGCUCUACCUCUCCUCAUGAUUAGUUGUAAGUUUCCCCACUGUUUUUAUCAAUAUGUAUAUAAUCCCAACCCUAUGAUUAUAAAAAAAAAAAAAAAAAAAGACAAAACACUUGUUCUUGCCUCCUUCAGAGAGGGGGCUUUGGGGCUUGUUCUCCCAUCCCCUCCUUGGGUUGUCUCUCAAAUAAACUUUCCUCGCUGCAUAUCCGA